UGAUAGCAAAAGCAAAAAAGCAAUCUUUAGAUGGAUAAGGUUCUUCACAAGAGAUCUGGAAGCCAAUUUUGGGUUUAAUGAGCCCAGAACAAUCAUGGAUUCUAGAGCAGCUCAGAGAGUUGGUUUGCAAAGCCUUUAAUUAGGUAUAAUAUCUCAUGAUAGAGCUACUUAAGCGGAGCCAAGGGCUUUCCUAACACUCACAACAAUCCUGUGAGACACCAUCUUGCAAAUUUGGCAAUGUAGAGAACGCAAUGGAAGAUCAGAGUAAACUUCAAGCAAAGUAAAUUGGUCUCUUUACUCUGCACACUGAUUACACAUAUGCAACUCCAAAAGAGUGGUUACGCUCCUGUAAAGAUAUAGCAUUAGAAUCUAUACAAGAAGAUACCUAUUUCUCAUUCAACACAAAAAUAAAGAUUAAAAGAUUGGCUCCUGUAAUCCAC